rnacentral:rRNA from 1 species
GACGAACGCUGGCGGCGUGCUUAACACAUGCAAGUCGAACGAAGUGGCGAACGGGUGAGUAACGCGUAAACAACCUGCCCUUCAGAGGGGGACAACAGUUGGAACCGAAUGCUAAUACCGCAUACUGAAGGAGGGGAUUUCGUCUGAUUCGCUCGGUGGAGGGGUAAAGGCCCACCAAGGCGAUGAUCAGUCGACGGGCUGAGAGGAUGAACGGCCACAUUGGGACUGAGACACGGCCCAGACUCCUACGGGAGGCAGCAGUGGGGAAUCUGCCGCAAGGGACGAAAGUCUGACGGAGCAACGCCGCGUGAUUGAUGACGGCCUUCGGGUUGUAAAGCUCUGUUAAUCGGGACGCGGUACCGGAAUAGAAAGCCACGGCUAACUACGUGCCAGCAGCCGCGGUAAUUC